UACGAAGGUGGCAAGCGUUGUUCGGAUUUACUGGGCGUACAGGGAGCGUAGGCGGUUGGAUAAGCCCUCCGUGAAAUCUCCAGGCUUAACCUGGAAAGUGCAGAGGGGACUGUUCAGCUAGAGGAUGGGAGAGGAGCGCGGAAUUCCCGGUGUAGCGGUGAAAUGCGUAGAGAUCGGGAGGAAGCCGGUGGCGAAGGCGGCGCUCUGGAACAUUUCUGACGCUGAGGCUCGAAAGCGUGGGGAGCAAACAGGG
rnacentral:rRNA from 1 species